ACCUUCGUGGUGUAAUGGUCAGCACACUGAUCCGGUAUUUCAGAGGUCCGUGGUUCGAUCCCCGGCGAAGGCA
rfam:Stegodyphus mimosarum contig36292, whole genome shotgun sequence.